UAUAUAAAUUCAAAAGGUAAGAACUUGACACUUGUUUAGAAUUAAAAGUAUAAGGCGAAUAUUAAAAUUUCCUACUAGACACCUUAAAGAGAAAAUGCAUAUCAAAUACUCGUAUCUGUCUAUGUAUAUCAACCAGAAGUGGCGAACGAAUGCGAUAGGUAACAUAGGUUGACUAAAUAGCAAUAGUUCAAAAUCUAAAACGACACUUAAAGUGUCACUUUCACUCUAGAAGUCACUGUCAAAGCCAUUGUGAACCAGUCCCUUUAAAUAGUGCAUGAUGUACAAAGUCACACUGACCUUAAUUCCUAAGAAUAGAUUCGAAAUGAAUGUUUCAAAAACGUUAAAAUUUGUUUUAAUAGAACCCUAGCUUGAAAUAAAAUUUGAUGAAUAUAUCUUUCAUGGCUCGAUGCACAGAUAUACCGAAAUAUUUUCAAUGUAAUUUGAUAGCAAUGGCUCAACAAGAUAAGAAGGAUGUACGUUUCAUUUGUUACGGCCAGUUCAUCUAACGGCUUUACCACACACCCCUUUAAGUACACUUGAUACAAAAAGGAUUUUAAUGCUGUUCAAAAUUUGAAACUUAUUAGCCCUCUCUGUAAAACUCUACACAAUUUUUUCGCACUGUUUGGACUUAUUUGAGAAAUCGUGAGAAUAAAUUACAUUUCAUAUAGUGAUUUGUUUUUAUUUCAAUUAUAAAAACAUAGAUUUAAUUUUCAUUUGUUAUAAUUGUUUUAAAAGUCCGUUUGUAGCAAGUGUAGUUAGUACAUCAUAUUCUAUUACAAAUUCUUAUUUCAUGUAGGUAUAUAUAUAUCGUCCAUUGUACGCAAACAUCGUUGAUAAAAUCAAUAAUUUGGAGACAAAUAAGGCUUUCAUAUCAAUAGAAACCAGAGAUGGGAUCUUACUACCUUUGUAAAAAGAAAA